UCCAUGCCCUCAUCAUUCCUUUUGGUCUGCAGUUAAUAUCCUGAAGGAGCUGUUUCCCAAGAAACCUCCCUAUGAAGACAUGCAGAAGAAGAAUUAUUCUCAACAUUUGGCGUAUCUAUUGCACCAUGAAACCCCUUGGAAGUCUUUGCUUAUGCAGGCACAUAAUGAGAAUUUGAGAGUAAUUGCAUCACGGCAGGCAACUCUGAGGUGAAACUGGAAAAACAUCUUUGGCAUCUUCUUGUAGUGGUGUUCUAUGUUUUCUAGAAAGUUGGAGAAGAUAUCACUGCUGGUGCCCUGGCUGACUGUCACCUGAGAGAUAGGACAGAAUAAACUACAUGUUAUGGACUGCUCUGUCAUCCACAGAAUUGAUUCCAUCUCACUGGAGAGAAUAAUUUCAUCUCAUCUCAUCUCAAUGGAGAGACAGCAUUGCAACUGGCUGUAUUUUACUUAACCAGUGGAUGGAAUAUUUAGUCUCCAGCUGGAGCUGUCAACCAAGCUUGAAAAUGACUUUUAAAA